rnacentral:rRNA from 1 species
UACGGAGGGUGCAAGCGUUGCUCGGAGUUACUGGGCGUAAAGCGUACGCAGGCGGCACGAUGUGUCGGGUGUGAAAGCCCUGGGCUCAACCCAGGAACGGCAUCCGAAACUGUCGAGCUAGAGUUCGGGAGAGGGAAGUGGAAUUCCUGGUGUAGAGGUGAAAUUCGUUGAUAUCUGGAGGAACACCGGUGGCGAAGGCGACGUCCUGGACCGGCAUUGACGCUGAGGCGCGAAAGCCAGGGGAGCAAACGGG